GACGAACGCUGGAGGCGUGCUUAACACAUGCAAGUCGAACGAUGAAAUGGAGCUUGCUCCAUGGAUUAGUGGCGAACGGGUGAGUAACACGUGAAUAACCUGCCCUUAAUUUUGGAAUAACCCAGGGAAACCUGGGCUAAUACCGGAUAAGUAAACCUGUGGCAUCACAUGGUUUUGGAAAGUUUUUCGAUUAAGGAUGGAUUCGCGGCCUAUCAGCUUGUUGGUGAGGUAAUGGCUCACCAAGGCGACGACGGGUAGCCGGCCUGAGAGGGUGAACGGCCACACUGGGACUGAGACACUGCCCAGACUCCUACGGGAGGCAGCAGUGGGGAAUAUUGCGCAAUGGACGAAAGUCUGACGCAGCGACGCCUCGUGAGGGACGAAGGUCUUCGGAUUGUAAACCUCUUUCAGCAGGGACGAAGCGAAAGUGACGGUACCUGCAGAAGAAGCACCGGCUAACUAUGUGCCAGCAGCCGCGGUAA
rnacentral:rRNA from 1 species